ACUCCUACGGGAGGCAGCAGUGGGGAAUAUUGCACAAUGGGCGCAAGCCUGAUGCAGCCAUGCCGCGUGUAUGAAGAAGGCCUUCGGUUGUAAAGUAACUUUCUAGCAGUGAGGAAGGCGGGUACGGUUAAUAGCGUGCUCGUUUGUACGUUAGCUGCAGAAGAAGCACCGGCUAACUCCGUGCCAGCAGCCGCGGUAAUACGGAGGGUGCGAGCGUUAAUCGGAAUUACUGGGCGUAAAGCGCAUGCAGGUGGUUUGUUAAGUCAGAUGUGAAAGCCCGGGGGCUCAACCUCGGAAUUGCAUUUGAAACUGGCAGACUAGAGUACUGUAGAGGGGGUAGAAUUUCAGGUGUAGCGGUGAAAUGCGUAGAGAUCUGAAGGAAUACCGGUGGCGAAGGCGGCCCCCUGGACAGAUACUGACACUCAGAUGCGAAAGCGUCGGGGAGCGAAACAGGAUUAGAUA
rnacentral:rRNA from 1 species